UACAGAGGUCUCGAGCGUUGUUCGGAUUCAUUGGGCGUAAAGGGUGCGUAGGUGGCUUGGUCAGUCGGAUGUGAAAUCCCGGGGCUCAACCCCGGAACUGCAUUCGAUACUGCCAGGCUGGAGUACUGGAGAGGAGAUUGGAAUUACGGUGUAGCAGUGAAAUGCGUAGAUAUCGUAAGGAAGACCAGUGGCGAAGGCGGAUCUCUGGACAGUUACUGACACUGAGGCACGAAGGCCAGGGGAGCAAACGGG
rnacentral:rRNA from 1 species